rnacentral:rRNA from 1 species
AUUGAACGCUGGCGGCAGGCCUAACACAUGCAAGUCGAACGAGUGGCGGACGGGUGAGUAAUGUCUGGGAAACUGCCCGCUGGAGGGGGAUAACUACUGGAAACGGUAGCUAAUACCGCAUACCAUCGGAUGUGCCCAGGUGGGAUUAGCUAGUAGGUGGGGUAACGGCUCACCUAGGCGACGAUCCCUAGCUGGUCUGAGAGGAUGACCAGCCACACUGGAACUGAGACACGGUCCAGACUCCUACGGGAGGCAGCAGUGGGGAAUAUUGCACAAUGGGCGCAAGCCUGAGGCAGCCAGGCCGCGUGUAUGAAGAAGGCCUUCGGGUUGUAAAGUACCUUCAGCGAGGAGGCGUUACCCGCAGAAGAAGCACCGGCUAACUCCGUGCCAGCAGCCGCGGUAAUAC